rnacentral:rRNA from 1 species
UACGGGGGGGGCAAGCGUUGUUCGGAAUUACUGGGCGUAAAGGGCUCGUAGGUGGCCAACUAAGUCAGACGUGAAAUCCCUCAGCUUAACUGGGGAACUGCGUCUGAUACUGGAUGGCUUGAGUUUGGGAGAGGGACGCGGAAUUCCAGGUGUAGCGGUGAAAUGCGUAGAUAUCUGGAGGAACACCGGUGGCGAAGGCGGCGUCCUGGACCAACACUGACGCUGAUGAGCGAAAGCCAGGGGAGCAAACGGG